rnacentral:tRNA from 1 species
AUUUAAAUAGCUUAUAUUUAGAGCGUAAUAUUGAAAAUAUUAAUGAAAUUAUUUAAUUUUUAGAUA